rnacentral:rRNA from 1 species
CCCUUAGAUGUUCUGGGCCGCACGCGCGCUACACUGAUGCAUUCAACGAGUUUCUUCCUGGUCCGAGAGGAAUGGGUAACCUUUUGAAAGUGCAUCGCGAUAGGGAUAGACUAUUGCAAUUAUUGGUCUUCAACGAGGAAUUCCUAGUAGACGUAGUUCAUCAGACUGCAUCGAUUACGUCCCUGCCCUUUGUACACACCGCCCGUCGCUCCUACCGAUUGAAUGCUCAGGUGAGCCAUUCGGACUUUCAUCAUGCUGGUUUCCAGUUUUGAUGAAGGAAAGUCUUGCGAACCUUAUCAUUUAGAGGAAGGAGAAGUCGUAACA